GUACGCUGGCGGCACGCCUAACACAUGCAAGUCGAACGAAGUAGCAAUACUUAGUGGCAGACGGGUGAGUAACAUGUAGGUAUCUGCCCUUUGGCCUGGAAUAACACGAGGAAACUUGUGCUAAUACCGGAUAAGUCUUUACGGAGAAAGCUUUAUGCACCAUUGGAUGAGCCUGCACUUGAUUAGUUUGUUGGUGGGGUAAUGGCCUACCAAGACUGUGAUCAAUAGCUGAUUUGAGAGGAUGAUCAGCCACAUUGGGACUGAGACACGGCCCAAACUCCUACGGGAGGCAGCAGUGGGGAAUCUUGCACAAUGGAGGAAACUCUGAUGCAGCGAUGCCGCGUGAGUGAAGAAGGCCCUUGGGUUGUAAAGCUCUUUCGUCGGGGAAGAAAAUGACUGUACCCGAAUAAGAAGGUCCGGCUAACUUCGUGCCAGCAGCCGCGGUAAUACGAAGGGACCUAGCGUAGUUCGGAAUUACUGGGCUUAAAGAGUUCGUAGGUGGUUGAAAAAGUUAGUGGUGAAAUCCCAGAGCUUAACUCUGGAACUGCCAUUAAAACUUUUCAGCUAGAGUAUGAUAGAGGAAAGCAGAAUUUCUAGUGUAGAGGUGAAAUUCGUAGAUAUUAGAAAGAAUACCAAUUGCGAAGGCAGCUUUCUGGAUCAUUACUGACACUGAGGAACGAAAGCAUGGGUAGCGAAGAGGAUUAGAUACCCUCGUAGUCCAUGCCGUAAACGAUGUGUGUUAGACGUUGGAAAUUUAUUUUCAGUG
rnacentral:rRNA from 1 species